GACGAACGCUGGCGGCGUGCCUAAUACAUGCAAGUCGAACGAAGCUGUUUUAACUGGUGCUUGCACCGACUUAAACAACUGAGUGGCGAACGGGUGAGUAACACGUGGGUAACCUGCCCCAAAGCGGGGGAUAACAUUUGGAAACAGAUGCUAAUACCGCAUAACCACAGAAACCACAUGGUUUCUGUGUCAAAGAUGGUUUCGGCUAUCACUUUGGGAUGGACCCGCGGCGUAUUAGCUAGUUGGUAAGGUAAUGGCUUACCAAGGCAAUGAUACGUAGCCGAACUGAGAGGUGGAUCGGCCACAUUGGGACUGAGACACGGCCCAAACUCCUACGGGAGGCAGCAGUAGGGAAUCUUCCACAAUGGACGAAAGUCUGAUGGAGCAACGCCGCGUGAGUGAAGAAGGUUUUCGGAUCGUAAAACUCUGUUGUCAGAGAAGAACGUGUGCGAGAGUAACUGUUCGUGCAGUGACGGUAUCUGGCCAGAAAGCCACGGCUAACUACGUGCCAGCAGCCGCGGUAA
rnacentral:rRNA from 1 species